GCCGGUGUAGCUCAGUUGGUAGAGCACCUCACUUGUAAUGAGGACGUCGGGGGUUCGACUCCCUUCGCCGGCUCCA
rnacentral:tRNA from 1 species